rnacentral:ncRNA from 1 species
AAUUGCGAUGGUCCCUGCGGAUGUUGACACAAUGUGAUUUUUGCCUAGUGCUUUGAAUGUUAAAGUGAAGAAAUCAAACCAAGCAUGGGUAAACGACGGGAGUAAAUAUGACUCUCUUAAGGUAGCCAAAUUCCUCAUCAUCUAAUUAGUGAUGCACAUGAAUGGAUUAACUAGAUUAUCACUAUCCCUAUCUAUUGUCUAGUGAAACCACGACCAAGGGAAUGGGCUUGGCAUAAUCAACAGGGAAAGAAGACAUUGUUGAGUUUGACUCUAGUACGAAUUUGUGAAAUGACUUGAGAUGUGUAGAAUAAGAGGGAUUCUUUUUUGGAACAAAUUAAAUACAACUAAUUUUAACGCUAUUUUACUUAUUAUGUGGGGGCGGAGAGGAGUAUUUACCCUAUUUUUGGCCUUAGGACCUGCUUCAUAGGGUCAAUCUGGGAGAAAGACAUUGUCAGGUGGGGAUUUGGAUGGGGCGACACAUCUGUUAAAAUAUAACAUAAAAUACAAUUGGUGUAGACAAAACAUUUGUAUUUGGGAUAUCCUAGUGCAUAACCACCCUUAUUAAAUUUCCCUCCUAAUUUGUAGUUACAUCCAAUCAUUUCUAAAUUGAAUCUAGUCUCCUCACUUGCACAAUAUGGAUAGAUGUGUGAACCCUACCCCCCAUUUUCUAGUACCAUGAGAUGGGAUAUCCCUAACUAUGAACCAAAUGUUCCUAAGGUUUCCAAGGUUAUCUCUUAUAACUUAGAUUUAUUAGUCCCUAACCAUGAUAUUAAAGAUGUCAAAACCCCUGUCCAUGAGCCUAUGGUUACAUACAAAGGGGAAAAGAAAGGUGGACACAAAAAUUCCACCCAUUCCUCCUUAGGUUCCUCCCUAUGAUCUUGUUGU